AUGGUUCAGGAUGAACGCUGGCGGCGUGCUUAACACAUGCAAGUCGAACGAACCUUCGGGUUAGUGGCGGACGGGUGAGUAACGCGUGGGAAUCUGCCCUCAGGAGGGGGAUAACGGCUGGAAACGGCCGCUAAUACCCCAUAUGCCGAGAGGUGAAAUGAAUUUCGCCUGAGGAUGAGCCCGCGUCUGAUUAGCUAGUUGGUGAGGUAAGAGCUCACCAAGGCAUCGAUCAGUAGCUGGUCUGAGAGGAUGAUCAGCCACACUGGGACUGAGACACGGCCCAGACUCCUACGGGAGGCAGCAGUGGGGAAUUUUCCGCAAUGGGCGAAAGCCUGACGGAGCAACGCCGCGUGAGGGAUGAAGGCCUCUGGGCUGUAAACCUCUUUUCUCAAGGAAGAAGAUCUGACGGUACUUGAGGAAUAAGCCACGGCUAAUUCCGUGCCAGCAGA
rnacentral:rRNA from 1 species